GACGGAGGAUGCAAGCGUUAUCCGGAAUGAUUGGGCGUAAAGCGUCCGCAGGUGGCAGUUCAAGUCUGCUGUCAAAGACCGGGGCUUAACUUCGGAAAGGCAGUGGAAACUGAACAGCUAGAGUAUGGUAGGGGCAGAGGGAAUUCCUGGUGUAGCGGUGAAAUGCGUAGAGAUCAGGAAGAACAUCGGUGGCGAAGGCGACAUCCUGGACCAACACUGACGCUGAGUGAGCGAAAGCCAGGGGAGCAAACGGG
rnacentral:rRNA from 1 species